rnacentral:rRNA from 1 species
UACGGAGGGUGCAAACGUUGCUCGGAAUCAUUGGGCGUAAAGCGCACGUAGGCGGCCUGUUAAGUCGGGUGUGAAAGCCCUGGGCUCAACCCAGGAAGUGCACUCGAAACUGGCAGGCUUGAAUAUGGAAGAGGGUCGCGGAAUUCCCGGUGUAGAGGUGAAAUGCGUAGAGAUCAGGCGGAACACCCGUAGCGAAGGCGGGCCAGCUGGGCCGU